rnacentral:lncRNA from 1 species
UUCUUAGUUAUUUAGUUUUAAGUUAGAUUAUUUAUUAAUGUUAUUUCAAAUUAUGUUCGUAUUUGUUUCUUUUUCGCAUUUUUGUUUUUUCCUUCCAUUGUUACAUUAUGAUUAUUUUAUGAAGCUAUUGAAUUAUCCUAUUUUAUUAUGAAUUAUGCAAUAUCUAUCAAUAAUGCUCUCUACUGUUGCUGCCUACAUAAAUUAUUAAAAUUAUAAUAUAAUUAUGCACUAUUAUACAAAGUAG